rnacentral:rRNA from 1 species
GCGCAGUCUAGCCAAGGCGGACGGGUGAGUAACGCGUAAGGAACUCGCCCUGCAGACAGGGAUAACAGACGGAAACGACUGAUAACACCUGGUAUUGUCAGGCUGGCGCAUGCCGGUCUGAUGAAAGGAGACGCUGCAGGAGAGCCUUGCGUCCUAUUAGCUAGUUGGUGGGGUAACGGCCCACCAAGGCGAUGAUAGGUAGCCGGCCUGAGAGGGUGAACGGCCACAAGGGGACUGAGAUACGGCCCUUACUCCUACGGGAGGCAGCAGUGGGGAAUAUUGGACAAUGGGGGCAACCCUGAUCCAGCAAUUCUGUGUGCACGAAGAAGGUUUUCGGAUUGUAAAGUGCUUUCAGCAGGGAAGAAGAAAGUGACGGUACCUGCAGAAGAAGCGACGGCUAAAUACGUGCCAGCAGCCGCGGUAAUACGUAUGUCGCAAGCGUUAUCCGGAAUUAUUGGGCAUAAAGGGCAUCUAGGCGGCCCUGUAAGUCUAGGGUGAAAACCUGCGGCUCAACCGCAGGCCUGCCCCGGAAACUACAGGGCUAGAGUAUCGGAGAGGUGGACGGAACUGCACGAGUAGAGGUGAAAUUCGUAGAUAUGUGCAGGAAUGCCGAUGAUGUAGAUAGUUCACUGGACGGUAACUGACGCUGAAGUGCGAAAGCUAGGGGAGCAAACAGGAUUAGAUACCCUGGUAGUCCUAGCUGUAAACGAUGAUUACUGGGUGUGG